UACGUAGGGUGCAAGCGUUAAUCGGAAUUACUGGGCGUAAAGCGUGCGCAGGCGGUUUUGUAAGACCGGUGUGAAAUCCCCGGGCUUAACCUGGGAACUGCAUUUGUGACUGCAUAGCCAGAGUACGGUAGAGGGGGAUGGAAUUCCGCGUGUAGCAGUGAAAUGCGUAGAUAUGCGGAGGAACACCGAUGGCGAAGGCAAUCCCCUGGACCUGUACUGACGCUCAUGCACGAAAGCGUGGGGAGCAAACAGG
rnacentral:rRNA from 1 species